rnacentral:rRNA from 1 species
AAUGGGUCAGCGACUUAUAUUCUGUAGCAAGGUUAACCGAAUAGGGGAGCCGAAGGGAAACCGAGUCUUAACUGGGCGUUAAGUUGCAGGGUAUAGACCCGAAACCCGGUGAUCUAGCCAUGGGCAGGUUGAAGGUUGGGUAACACUAACUGGAGGACCGAACCGACUAAUGUUGAAAAAUUAGCGGAUGACUUGUGGCUGGGGGUGAAAGGCCAAUCAAACCGGGAGAUAGCUGGUUCUCCCCGAAAGCUAUUUAGGUAGCGCCUCGUGAAUUCAUCUCCGGGGGUAGAGCACUGUUUCGGCAAGGGGGUCAUCCCGACUUACCAACCCGAUGCAAACUGCGAAUACCGGAGAAUGUUAUCACGGGAGACACACGGCGGGUGCUAACGUCCGUCGUGAAGAGGGAAACAACCCAGACCGCCAGCUAAGGUCCCAAAGUCAUGGUUAAGUGGGAAACGAUGUGGGAAGGCCCAGACAGCCAGGAUGUUGGCUUAGAAGCAGCCAUCAUUUAAAGAAAGCGUAAUAGCUCACUGGUCGAGUCGGCCUGCGCGGAAGAUGUAACGGGGCUAAACCAUGCACCGAAGCUGCGGCAGCGACACUAUGUGUUGUUGGGUAGGGGAGCGUUCUGUAAGCCUGCGAAGGUGUACUGUGAGGUAUGCUGGAGGUAUCAGAAGUGCGAAUGCUGACAUAAGUAACGAUAAAGCGGGUGAAAAGCCCGCUCGCCGGAAGACCAAGGGUUCCUGUCCAACGUUAAUCGGGGCAGGGUGAGUCGACCCCUAAGGCGAGGCCGAAAGGCGUAGUCGAUGGGAAACAGGUUAAUAUUCCUGUACUUGGUGUUACUGCGAAGGGGGGACGGAGAAGGCUAUGUUGGCCGGGCGACGGUUGUCCCGGUUUAAGCGUGUAGGCUGGUUUUCCAGGCAAAUCCGGAAAAUCAAGGCUGAGGCGUGAUGACGAGGCACUACGGUGCUGAAGCAACAAAUGCCCUGCUUCCAGGAAAAGCCUCUAAGCAUCAGGUAACAUCAAAUCGUACCCCAAACCGACACAGGUGGUCAGGUAGAGAAUACCAAGGCGCUUGAGAGAACUCGGGUGAAGGAACUAGGCAAAAUGGUGCCGUAACUUCGGGAGAAGGCACGCUGAUAUGUAGGUGAAGCGACUUGCUCGUGGAGCUGAAAUCAGUCGAAGAUACCAGCUGGCUGCAACUGUUUAUUAAAAACACAGCACUGUGCAAACACGAAAGUGGACGUAUACGGUGUGACGCCUGCCCGGUGCCGGAAGGUUAAUUGAUGGGGUUAGCGGUAACGCGAAGCUCUUGAUCGAAGCCCCGGUAAACGGCGGCCGUAACUAUAACGGUCCUAAGGUAGCGAAAUUCCUUGUCGGGUAAGUUCCGACCUGCACGAAUGGCGUAAUGAUGGCCAGGCUGUCUCCACCCGAGACUCAGUGAAAUUGAACUCGCUGUGAAGAUGCAGUGUACCCGCGGCAAGACGGAAAGACCCCGUGAACCUUUACUAUAGCUUGACACUGAACAUUGAGCCUUGAUGUGUAGGAUAGGUGGGAGGCUUUGAAGUGUGGACGCCAGUCUGCAUGGAGCCGACCUUGAAAUACCACCCUUUAAUGUUUGAUGUUCUAACGUUGGCCCCUGAUC